AAAAUUGCAUUUCAUCAAAGUAACUCUAAAUACUCCAUACACCAAAUUCAAAUGCUCGAAUGGCGCUGACAAUUCGACAGUCAAAGAAAUUUCUUUCACUAUUAAAGAAUUAGACAACGACCCAUUGUCUAAUUCAAUUAUCCUGGAAAAAGGAGUCGGCCAAAAUUUGAUCUGCAACCGACUGUCGCAACAUGUGCCCAUUCAUUGGCUCAAGGAUGGCGUGCACUACUCCGACUCGGUCUAUGAAAACGAAACCGCGUCUAUUGUGCAACUGCAAGGAAAAGAAACGGAAGAGGGAAUCUACGAAUGUAG